GUGGUCUAGUUUCAUUCUUCUGCAUGUGGAUGUCCAAUUUUCCCAGCACCAUUUAUUGAAAAGACUGUCUUUCUUCCAGUGGAUAGUCUUUCCUCCUUUAUCGAAUAUUAAUUGACCAUAAAAUUGAGGGUCCACUUCUGGAUUCUCUAUUCUGUUCCAUUGAUCUAUGUGUCUGUUUUUGUGCCAGUACCAUACUGUCUUGAUGAUCACAGCUUUGUAAUAUAGCUUGCCUUUCAGAAUUGUGAGGCCACAAGCUUUGUUUUCUUUUUCAACUUUCCUUUGGCUAUUUGGGGUCUUCUGGUUCCAUACAAGUUUUAGGAUGAUUUGUUCCAGCUCUGGGAAAAAUAUUAAUGUCUUUCAGCCUUCUUAUUGGAGUACCUUCUCAUUGCCUCCUAGGUUAACCCCAGGAGAUAUUACUACAAUGAAAGCUUCAGCAAGUUGUCCUUCUGACCUCCUUCAUCUCCAUCUGGGACAGUGCUCCCAGACUACUAGGUGUCCCCAAUUCAAGCUUACCUGGAGGACAUUCACCUAAGCCUACUGUGUGCCAGGCCUGUUCGAGACACGAGGGCAAAACAGGGGUGAAGCAGCAGGGAGGUCCUCAUUCUCAUAUGGCUGACAGAAUAGUAAAAAUUAAGUUAAACAUACACAAAGUCAGGUAUUGAUAUGUACUAUGAGGAACAAUAAAGUCAGGAAGGAAGUGUGAGCAAAUUGCUGAAUGCAUUUAGGGAGCAGACAAGUACAGUGGAAAGAUACUUCAGUCUGGAAGAACAAGUGCAAAGGCCCUGUUGAUAGUCUUAUUUUAUGGUUUGGUUUCUUAGCUUUACCUGGAGUCAUAUUUUGCUUUUAUGCGUAAUGCUAGGUUUCACUUCUGAGGUAAUUAAGCUGAACCUGGUCAUCAAUUUGUUAAUUUCAGCAAAUUCUACAAGAGUAAUUCAAAGUAGAAACAGAAGUGAUUUGGGACUAGUCAGCACAUGUUUAUUGAAGGGCCUCCCUGGUCUCAGCAUUGUUAGGAAUGAGAAGGCUGUGAAUGAACAUGAUGGGUCUCUAUCUUGAUGAUUCCUGUCAAUGAACUUCUUCCACAUCCUCAGUCCCCUUCCACUCUCAGGUGGGUUAUGACCUCUGACCUUGAUGGUCUUGGUUCCCUGUGUUCAUCUCCUUCCAGCCUUCUCUGUCUCUGUUUAUCCCAAACUUCUCAAAGUCUGGGUCCCACACUGACCUACUCCCUUGCAUCAUCUCUUGCUGAAGUCCCUCUCUUUGAGGGAAGCCCCUAAUAGCCCCACCAACAUGCCCUGAGAAAGCCUCUUCUACAUAUCCUCCAAUGUAUCCCCUGCCAUGAUUCCAUUUCUGAAGGACCCCCUGUCAUUCUCUCCUUCCCUGCCCCCGCCACCAAGCUGUGCCUCAACCUACCCCCGAAGGCUCCUUGAGGGUUGCACAGUUACACUUGGGGACACUGAGGGCACACAGGCAUUGUUGCUGAAAAUGACAAGCAGUACCCCAGAGCAGAAGACAAACAAUCACUCCCUGAGCAGCUGGAACUCAUGCUGUUGUGGCUAUAAGAUGCCAGUAAAGAAGGUGAGACCAACAUUGGGCUGCAGUCCCUUCCCACCUGUCCCUCAGUGUGCCCCUGUCUUCAUGCCUCAGCCUGGGUAUACUGUUCCUCUUCCUAAUAUGUUAGAGAUACAACCAUUCAUUCACUUACUUGCUCAUUCAUUUGUCUUGUAUUUGGCUACUGUUGAGUGCCAGGCUUUGGGUAGAUGGUCACUCAUUCUGGAACUUCUAGGUUAGAUGUCACCCCUUCCUUGAAGUACUUCUCGAACCCCACACUUUCUCCCUGCACCCUCACAUCUGUGAGCUCCAAGUGUUGUGUUCACACUUCAAUGACCUCUCCAGCCUGUGAACUCUGUGAAGACCCUUGGCCAUUGCAGAAAGGGGCUCAGAACAAUGCAAAGAUGGUUUAAUGAUGAAUAAGUGAAAGGAUUAAACACAGACAGGUCAAGUUCACCAAAGAUAGGAUUCUUCUCCCACCCUCCCUCUCUUCCUCCAAGAUCAGGUGCCCCAGGGUUCUGUUCUAAUCCUCACCUCUCUGGAAACUUUAAUCUUUGUUUACACUUUGAAGACAGCUUAGGCCUGUAUCCUUCAGUAGUAUGAAACCUAAUUACCACUUGAAGGGCAGCCAUUCCUCUGUUGUGUCUGAGGCAACACAAGACAACAUGGAAGCUCAGUUUAUUGGCAGGAAGAUAUCUCAGUGGCUGGGCCAUGGGGCAGCAGGAAGUGGGGAAACAGGACCAGGACGCUGAGCUCACCACCUCCUCUCUCCUGACCACAUCCUUUUAUAUUUAACCAAAUAGACUGUAACUAUCUGAGGAUCAACCUGUCUCCUAGAUAGGAGAUCUAUUCUUCAGGGACAGCUUUAGGAGCCCCACACCUAAGGUUUCGACUCUGUGUGUGAAUUAGGACAAAUCACUGGUGCCUUUGGAACUCCUGUUCCUAACCCUAAGUGAAUCAGGCAGUGAUGCUCUGCUAGAGCGGCUGCUGGAGGUGGAGCUUGAGCAGGUGCCUGGCACUGGUCACUGUAAGACAUUGCAGUUCCUGUGAUACCCUGUUACUGCUGUCCCUGAGAUCCCGCCUACUCCAUAGCCAUGUGUGUUGAAUGCCUGGGUGGAGAGAUGCCAGAGUGAGUAAGAGAAGGGCAGGUGCUUCCAGGGUAACAUUGAAAUACAGGGGACUUGACUUUCCUCCCUCAUGACAUCCAGCUGUACCAGGAUCUGAUGCCACUGGCCACACACUCUGAGCUUGCACAGUCUCCUGGGAACUCUGAUGACAGUUUAUUGGCUUGGACCACAGAAUGAUGGAGGUUAUGUCAAUAGCAGCUUAGCAACAGAGGUCAGGAGACCCCAGGGCUUUUCGAAGCACGUUGGUGAUUGGAGCCUGACAUGGCAGAGCAUUGACUGUUGGGGUGCCCAGCCUUGGAUGCUCACAUCCAUGGUCAUCCCAUCCUGAAGGCACCCAAUUGCUUCUGAUCUCUCAAGCUAAGUAGGCUGGACAUGGUUGGUCCUCGGUUCAGAGUAGACUAGGAAUAUCAGUUGCUGUGGGCUUUAGCAGUCUGUUUCUUCUCUCAUCCCUUUCUCCACAUGCCAUUGCCACAACACUUCCCUUACUCCCCAGCCAUCAGGGGGUCUGUCCAUUGCUGGAGCCCUGGUAGGGGUGGGUGGCUUCAGGAGUUCUGAAAAAGUACACAUGGCUGACUGGUGCCUUCUGGGUUUGCUGAGAGUUGAAGGUUGCUAGGGCAAGUUAGACUUGGCUGGAAGGCAGUGCUCAAUGCCAUGGAAAUGUAUCAUGAAAAGGUUGUGAGGGAAAAUUUUAUAGAUUUGUAGAAAAUAAAUUAUGAUGUGAAGUGUAAAAAAGCCAAACCUAAAUGUCCACGAAUCAUAAAAUUCUUUUUUCUUGAAAUAUACUAAAUAGGCAACUCCAUAGAGACACAAAGCACACUGGUCAUCACCAAAGAAUGGGGAGAGUGGAAUGGAAAGUGACUACUAAAGGGGUUAGUGGGUUUCUUUCUGAGGUGAAGUGUUCUGGAUUGGGGACAGAUGAUGCCUGCACAACUUUGUGAAGACAUAAAUCACUGAAUUGUAUCCUUUUCAAAGGGUGAAUUUUAUGGUAUGUGAAUUAUAUCUUAGCUGUAAACACUGUGGUUAAUCAGUAAAAAAUCUCUUUAGAGCUUUAACAGGAGCAAUGCUUUUUAUCCUGAGUAAUUUUUGCUUCCCAUUCUACUAACCUCUGUAGACUUCAACAAAGACCUCCAAAUGAGAAAGAGCACUGUGUAUUCAGAGACAACUGUAUGCAGCAAGUGAGUCCGCUAUCAUAUUUGCUUUGGCAGACUCAGAGACAGGAGGAGGAGCAGGAAAGCUUUGUGGUACAGGAAAAGGAAAGCAUGCCUUCAUCCCAGGUAGUGGUGUGCUAUGAGGAAGCUGGAGAUGGGUUGACUAUAAGCAUCCUAGCUGAUUGCUUAGGGGAACAUAUUUGACUUUCCCCGUUUGGUUCUUAGUUGAAAGAAGGAUUAAAAAUGAGGAAGAUAAAAAAAAAAUGAGGAAGAUAUCAGACAUUGACCAAGUCCUGAGAGGUUGGGAUCUGGAUUUCUGGGCUGGUUGCUUCAGAUUUUGUGUGAGACCAUAUGUGUGGGCUGCAGGGAGAAGAUCCUUGGCCUUCAGGGGAUUCAAACUCUGCAUACCCAAACCCCUACUUCAUCAUCUUUAAUCAGUCAAAUUCUGUGGAAUGAAAAACUUGAUUCAUAUUUCCGUCAUUGACGGCGAACAAUAUUACCAUUAAAAUAAUGAAGAGUAAGUAUAACAAUGGUAAUUUGUAUUGCCACAAACAAACCUCAGGAAUUUCUACCUUCCUAAUGUCUAUCAUAUACUGGAUUUCAGUGACAGGCAAACAAUUGUUAAAUCAUUCUAUUUUCUAUUCAACCCCAUGACCAUCUGGUGGACCUUCUGGGAAUAGGCAACAGGUGACAGCCAGCUGUUGAGAAGGUCACUAGUUAGGAUCCCAGGACACCACCAGGAUGACAUCACUCAUGCAGAUGGCCUCCCUAAGUAGCCCUCUAGCAGCAAGUCCAGAUAUGCUCUCAUGAACAUUUCCCAGUGAGGUCCAGAGAAAACUAUAAACAGCUGACAGGUAACCCAUCACUUCUCAUGAAAAUGGCACUCAGAUGGCUCUAGGACCCAAGGUGAUGAGAGUGGAACACCAGGUGACUGGACCAAGGACUUCAAACCCUCAUUGAUGGUAAUACAGGGAAGCUUCUCACAUCAGCCAUUUGGAGAGGGUCCCCAGCUACUUAGUGGGGACUUUUAAUAAUUGUGACAUUCUAAUGAGUAUAUAUGGGAGGAUCCACUGUAUUUGGGAGGCCUCCUGGUGCCCUCCAUGCACAUCCAUGAGAGAUCCCCACUACCAAGCAAUGUUUGGAAAAAUUAGAAAAGGAAAAACCACCACUGGGGUGCACAAAGAAGUACAUAGGACAUGAACACUGUCUCCUCUUUGGUGCCCAGCACUCCCACUAGUCCCCAUGGGCAAAGGGGCACUGGAGCACACCAGUUGAUCUUUUCUUGUCACUUCAGUGACUCUGGAGCACAGUGCUGGCCCGUACCCUUCUCCAGAGCCACUCCUGGGGAAGUGGAUGGUGUGCCAACACUCUGGCACCCCAGCAAUGAUCCUGGUAGUGCACAGGGCUCCUGGAGUACUGUUUCCCUUUCUGCACUGAAAUCCUAUCUAUUGCCCAUUUCCCUGGAGUUCUGGAGGAAGAAGAUAUAUAAGUGUCCACCAGCUAUCCCUGACACCUGAACAGUCAUCAGCUGAAAAGACAUGGAUCAUUUCUGCUUGAGCCUUGGAUCUCCAACCUGGGCCCAUGAGAGGUGUUUUGCAUCCAGUGUGGCCAUGGGUGCCUCUGCUAUGAGCCUCUUGGCCUGCAGGGCAGAUCCUGGCAGAAGGAAACAGACUUGGAACAGUUUAUCAGCAGGGCCUAGGAACUAUCAUUUACUGGAGUGAUGGCUAUUGAGAAGGGUAGAACUUCCUCACAGAAUUCUCAUGGCUACGGGGUCUGCUUCCAAGCUCCGGAGGAAUAUGAAAAUUUUCCUGGUGCUGUGGAGAGGACAGCCCUUCACAGUGUUCUCACAGUAAGAGUAGAGUUCCCAGGCUCCCAGUGGCCUUGUGAAAUAUGUAGGGGUGUGGGCAGGCAUGGACUGUAAAAUUGGAACCACGAAUCAUAUUUAGUCCAUAAUUCCAGCCUGCACAUCUCUCUUACAUUCUUAAAAACCUCCUAGAAGGGCAGCCCCGGUGGCGCAGCGGUUUAGCUCCACCUGCAGCCUGGGGUGUGAUCCUGGAGACUCGGGAUCGAGUCCCACGUCAGGCUUCCUGUAUGGAGCCUGCUUCUCCCUCUGCCUGUGUCUCUGCCCCUCUCUCUCUGUCUCUAUGAAUAAAUAAAAUCUUAAAGAAAUAAAAAUAAAAACUUCCUAGAAGCCACAAAGGAAAGAUCAAUAAACUUGACCACAUAGAGUGUAAGCAAGUUGAUCUUUACAUGUCCAACAAGAAAAGUCAAUACCAAUAACGAAUGUGGGAUCAUUUGCAAAUACAUAUACAAUAAAAACAGUAAUAUCAGCAUCACAUGUUAUAAUAAUAGAACAUGUGUUUUUUAUUUAAAUUCAAUUAAUUAACAUAUAAUGCAUUAUUAGUUUCAGAGGUAAAGUUCAGUGACUCAUCACUUGUGUAUAUAACACCCAGUUCUUGUUACAUCACGUGUCCUUCUUCCUGCCUAUCACCCAGUUACCCCAUCCCUCCACAUCUCCCCUCCAGCCGCCCUCAGUUUGUUUCCCAUAGUUAAGAGACUCUCAUGGUUCGUCUCCCUCUCUGAUUGCAUCUUGUUUUAUUUUUCCCUCUCUUCCUCUAUGUUCCUCUGGUUUGUUUCUUCAUUUCCACAUAUGAGUGAAAUCAUAUGGUAAUUGUCUUUCUCUGACGGACUUAUUUGGCUUAGCACAAUAUCCUCUAGUUCCAUCCAUAUCAUUGCUAAUGGCAAUAUUUCAUUUUUCAUGGCUGAAUAAUAUUUCAUUGUAAAUACAUACCACAUCUUCUUUAUCCAUUCAUCUGUCAAUGGACAUCUGGGCUCUUUCCAUAGUCUGGCUAUUGUGGAAAUUGCUGCUAUAAACAUUGGGGUACAGGGGCCCCCUCAGACCCCACAGUUGUAUGUUUGGGAUAUAUACCUAAGACUGCAAUUUCUGGGUCCUAAGGUAGCUCUAUUUUUAACUUUUUGAGGGACCUCCAUACUAUUUUCCAGAGUGUCUGUACCAGCUUGCAUUCCCACCAGCAGUGUAGUAGGAUUCCCCUUUCUCCUCAUCCUAGUCAACAUUGAUUUUUUGCUGACUUGUUCAUUUUAACCAUUCUGAUUGGUGUGAGAUGGUAUCUCAUUGUGGUUUUGAUUUGUAUUUCCCUGAGCUGAGUGGUAUGAAGCAUUUUUUCUUGUGUUUUUUGGCCAUUUGUAUGUCUUCUUUGGAGGAAUGUCUGUUCAUGUCUUCUGCCCAUUUCUUGACUGGAUUAUUUGUUCUUUGGGUGUUGAGUUUGAAAUAUUCUUUAUAGAUUUUGGAUACUAACCCUUUAUCAAAACAGAACAUUUGUAAAAAAAAAAAAAAUAGUCAUGAAGAGGGACCAGGUAAGUAAAUUCUAGCAUAUCAACACAAUGCAGUGCUAUCCAUUUGUGUUGUGGUUUGUUUAUAUUAUUAUAGGAUACAUUUAUAGCUUUUUUUUUUAAGAUUUUAAAAAUCUAUUUAUGACAGACACACAGAGAGAGGCAGGCUCCAUGCUGGGAGCCUGAUGUGGGACUCAAUCCCGGGACUCCAGAAUCAUGCCUUGAGCCAAAGGCAGAUACUCAACCCCUGAGCCACAUUUAUAGAUUUAUAGAUUCUGACAGAGAAAGAUGUUGAUAAUAAACUUUUAAAGGAAAACAGCAAGUGGCAGAAAUCCAAGAUGUAAAAAGAAAAGAAAAGUACAUGGAAGUUUUUAAACUUAUGCAGAAAGGCAAGGAAUUGGAAUAACUCAAACGAUUGUGAAAAACAAGAAUAAAGUCUUCCCCGUAUCCUGGUGUCAGUAGCCACAAAGGAGAUUAUCUUCAGAGACAUUUAUGAGCCACACCUCCUGCUUUCUGCUGUCUCCUGCUAUAUUCUCCUGGCAGGUAGCUAGCAUGCCAGCCCCUCUCUGCUCCUCUGAGACCCUAGCCAAACUGGGAGCCAGUAGGACCCUGACUUUAUAGGCCAAGCUUCCUAUGUCCUCAGCCUUUCCCCUCAUAGCCUUUCCCCCUAGCAAUUCACUUACCUGCCCCAAUCCUUCCAGCCUGGGGCUGCUUUUCCAGACCUACCCCAGUGCAGUCCUUCACCCCAAGAACUUUGGGCUGUGUUCCCAAAGAAAGUUGAAUCCUUUGUAGAAGAGGGAGGAAGCAAGAAUCAAUGACUCAUUGCACCUGGACCCACUGCACACACUUUGUGGCCAUUCAACAACUAAAAACACAAGACCGACAGGCAUCUCUAGUUUGCAUGGUCAUAACCAUUACUCUCUGGAAACAUGGGGGCACAGUCACAACUCUAGGGGUGCCAGGAAGAGAGGGGAAAGAUACACAUACACACACCCAUCCUGGGGGCUAAUUGGUACUCUUGCCAGGACAGGCAGGGGUGAGAGAAGAAAAGAGACCCUUGAUGCCACUUGUUGGGUCCCAGCUGGAUCAGACAGAUUGUGGCUGUCUUACUGGUGUGACUUUGGGGAGCUGGAGCCUGUAGCUUCCUCGUCUGUCAUUUUCUGACCAACACCCUGCAUCCUGUUCUGUCUGCCCUAGUCCUCCUCAGCACGGAGUUCCAAAUUAAGAAAAUAAUACUCUGCAUACAUGGUGUUUGAUUUUCAAAAUUAAAUAAAAGUUAACACAGUGGGAGAUUGAGGUGUUGUGAAUAAGUUUGGUAAGGGGAUAUUGUUUAUCCUUUUUGAAGCUAUCAAGAUGUUCAAGUAUAGAGUAUAUAAAAACAUUUGAAUGUUUAACAUUAGGGAAAAUAAAUGACUCCUCAUUGCUCUCUCUUGCUCAGUCCCACAGUCCUCCCAGCGCCAUAACCUGGACUCACCUGAUGAAACACCUACCUUUGCACUGGUCUAGAUACUUCUCUCACUUAUCUCUGCCUUUUCUUUUCACCACAUGCCUAAGGCCCCUGCACUCCCUAAAUGAUACGAAGGACUUGUUUGUCCCCUGAACCCAAGGACUGGAGAAACAAAAGAAAUAAAAGAGAAGAGAAAAGAGAAAAGAAGAGAACCUUUCCCAUUUGUUCCGUGAAGUCACUCUACUCAUGGAAGCUGGAACAGAACAGUUUGAAAACCGGGCUGAUAAAACUGGGGAAAGAAAAAGAAGCCACGAGAAUCCAGAAUUUGGAAGCAUCACUGGACACACCAGGCAGGAAUCCCCCACCAAUCACCUGGGGAUGAUGCUCUCUCGGCCCAACCCACAGGGGUGCACUGACAGGGUGAGCCCCCACAUCUCCUGGGGUCCAAAGGAAGGGAGUUGCUCUGCACUUUAAGGAGAUAUUAUCCUAAUCUCAUAGAUGACAAUAUGAAAAUCAUGCGGUUUUAUACUUGAAGUAGACUUUCUGCUCACAGUUAUUAUUUCAUUAGUUUUAAUUUUCAGGAUGAAACAUAAAGUCCGAGGAAACCCUCAGCAUAAUCACUUGGGGACUCAUGUCUCCACAGCAAAGACACUAGUCCUGAACUUCUCCUUUCAGAAUUCUUGGGUAACUGCACCAGCAUUUGUUCUCCGGCAUGCAUGUCAGCACUUUAGAGCUCGAAACCUCCCUGUUGUGCCCUGUUCCCACUCUCUGGAUGCACCUGCCAUCUGUUAGCAUGGCUCCUCUGUAUGUGGGAUUCAAGCAAUACCAGAGCUUCUACCCUCGCUCUGCUUUCCAUCACCCUGGACAUGUGCCAGUCCUCUUUAGAUCUGUUUAAUGGCUGGUAGAAAAACCCAAGAACUCAUGUCAUGCUGGAGGGUCCGUGACUCUCAUCACAUGAGGCCGGCUAUGACAACUCCUUGCACAGGACCGAAGCUGGAGUUCAGUCUUUAUGAGUCCAAUGUUGGUACCACAAUCCCCAUAGGGUAAAUAGAGUCACCAAAUACAGACUAAAGUUUAAAUUGCAGGGAAACUGGGUGAUGUUCACAUAGCCUCCUAGUACAGUGGUAACUGGAGGUCUGUCCCUCAUUACCAGAAUCAUUCUUCACUCCAUGAUUGAUGUGUAGGAAAGUACUUGUAUACUGUGAAAAACUACCCAAAUCAAUGGUCAUGAUUAACUGCACUGCACAAAUACUGAUAAUGUAUUAGGAAGAUGAUGAAUCACAUUUCUGUGAUCUUGAGAUCUGUAAAAGAGAAAACAUUUCAGGCAUGAUAGAGAAUCUGCGACUUGGAUUUACACGUAUGCAUUUAUUGAAUCCUCACAUAAGCCUGCUACUUAUGGAGUACUUAGCAUUUAACAAGAGACAAGAGCUAGGGCCAGUAAGCUUUAUUUAAAGGAUAGUAUGAGGUGUCUAGAAAAUGGCAGAGCUACAACUUAAGUAGCUCUGCCUGUCUCUGAACCUCCAACCCCUAGCCAUGCUGAUUUUUUUUUAUAAGAGUGGUUCAUUUUUUUAAAUUUUAUUUUUAUUCAUGAGAAAGAGAGAGAGAGAGAGAGAGGCAGAGACACAGGCAGAGCGAAAAGCAGGCUCCAUGCAGGGAGCCCCAAGUGGGACUCUAUCCCGGGUAUCCAGGAUCGCCCUGGGCUGAAGGCGGCGCUAAACCGCUGAGCCACCCGGGCUGCUCGCCAUACGCUGAUCUUGAGGGCUAGAUGUCAGACCCAGAUUUUUCCUGAAUGUGUCACCUCUCAGGUCACACCCAGAGACUCCUGGCCUCUUAUCACACCCUCCUCUCCAACCUCUUCACAGCUGACCCCCACAUGCAGUUUCUCCCAACCCAGGGGACUCUCUGGGGGAACUGACCCAACCCUGUAAGUCAGCUGUACCUCUCCUCAGUUCCGAGAUCAGUCUCCUCCAUGAGGAUAACCCUCAGCCUUUCUGACUUCUAAGCACCUCCAUCCCAGACAAGAAUAUCUCCCCUGCCUAUGGCUGCAGCUUCAUAUCCUUACUGUGUUUUAUAAAUAUCUGGCAACCCCAUAGGCCUUGAUAGUUAAUCAUUCUUCCUGCUUUGUAACAUUUUGGACAUUCCUCUUGUCUUUUGAAUCUAGGAAAUUCUCACCUAUCUCCUUACCUCAGAAGGGCUCCUGUCCUAUCUCACACUUGAAGAAGUACAUCUGAAGCAAGGCUGCAGCUCCCUGCCAUGGUGCUACAUAUUCCUGCAUCUCUCUUCACUAGUGACUACUUUCCUGUUUAAAUUCAAAGUCAGUGGGGUGCCUAGGGGGCUCAGUGGUUGAGUGCCUGCCUUCAACUCAGGAUAUGAUCCUGUGCUCCUAGGAUCUAGUCCCGCAUCGGGCUCCCUGCAAGGAGCCCGCUUCUCCCUCUAUGUCUCUGCCUCUCUCUGUGUGUCUCAUGAAUAAAUAAAAUCUUAAAAAAAAAUUCAAAGUAAGUCUAUGCCUGGAUUAAGUUCAGGUUCUCAAAGGUAUCCCCUUCUUUCCUGCUCUCUAGAAAACUAAUUAUUGAUUAUUUAGUAACUGCCAAACUGCAUCGUAUUUUUUAAAAUUUUAAUCUUUAUUGAACAAUUUUCCAGAGGGAGGGGCAAGAUGGCGGAAGAGUAGGGAUCCCAAGUCACCUGUCCCCACCAAAUUACCUAGAUAACCUUCAAAUCAUCCUGAAAAUCUACGAAUUUGGCCUGAGAUUUAAAGAGAGACCAGCUGGAAUGCUGCAGGGAGAAGAGUUCGCGCUUCUAUCAAGAGACCUUAAGAAGGAAUGGAUAUGACCCAGCCUAGCCCAGCAGAGGAAGAUGCUGAAGGAAGAGGAGCAACAUACGCGAAGCCUGAGGACAGGGACUUGCCUGGUCGUCCCAGCAGCAGUGGGACGUCCUGAGGCAGAGUGAGGUGAGUGAGAGGAGGGGAACAGGGGUAAAGGCAGAUGAAGUGGGGCCCCUCUGUGUAGGGUCACGGAGGCCACUGAGUGAGACACCACCCAGUGGAGCAUUCUAAGCAGAAGAGGGACAUGAUCCACAGUUUAUAUGAGUGACUCAGGCAGCUCUGUUGAAACCAGGCUUUGUGCAUCAAGGCAAGAGGAGAUGAAGGGGCCUUGUCACAAGAAUGUGGCAAUAAUUCAGGCUAAUCAAGAGGAGGUUUCAGACCAGACUGGUGCAAUGGAGUGGUGAUAAGAGUUACGACACUGGAUAUGUUUUGGUGAUAGACCUGACAGGGUUUGGCCACAGUUUGGAUGUGGGAUGUGAAAUCAUUUGUCACCCCACACUGACUUCAAGGCUCCUGUCCUGUCAGGAAGGAUGGACAUGCUAUUAGCAGAGAGGGUAUAAACGAAGGUAGAUAGACAGGGGGAGACUUCGCAGAAGAGUUGUUCAGCUUUAGGAAUGUUGAGACUGCGCUAUUAGACUGCCUUUGGGUACAUGCUGAAUAAGAAUCAGGAGGUCUGCCAUAGUGGUACAGGUGGAGAUAGGAAUUUCAGAGUGGAAAUGGGGCCACGAUAGACCAGAAGAAUCGAAAAACAUCACCAUAGAGGUUGCCUAAGUGAAAGAGAGGGCAAAGAAGAGAUCUGUGAUCCCCUGAAUCAUGAUACCUAAGGAUCCUAAAAUUACUUAUUUGCACAUUUAGGUUAAAGGUUUGCAGGAUGCUGGGGUUGAGUGUGAAGAUUUAGGUAUUGCUUCUGAGUGCCCCUAACACAGUGCUUUAUGCUGCAGAGAAGAGCAGGCAAUGACCGCCUGGGAGAAGCAAUGCCUGUGUUUUCUCAACCAUGGUCCUCCUCCAGCACACCCAUGAGGAACACAGCCUAACAUGCCCUUAUCUUGGAGCCCCUGAUGCUCUAAAAACACCCCAGGGCUCCAUCUCUUUCAAUCAGCUCCUGUCUUUGAGAUUCCCAGAGUGCUUGCAGAUAGUCUCCUGGGUCUUUAUUCAUAUUAUCUACAUAAUUGUACAUGGUGCUGAAGGAAGUGAUUACCUCUUAUGUAAAUACAGAUGGAGCUCAGCAUAAUACUUUAUAGUAACAUAAGUGCUAAUAUCACUUUUUUCCCCUCUUCCUAGUCCAUCCACUUGACUUCAGGGCUCUUUUCUCAGUCCCUGCAAAAAGGAAAGAGACAGAAGCCUCCUGUUCUCAUCCUUCCAGAACCUUCUUUUGUUUGACUUGCUAGCUCCCUUCACUCACUCCCCACACCUGCUCCUGCCUUCACUGUUCUUCUCACCACCCUGGUUCCCUUUCAUGCAGAUGCUGAACACAAUGCUCCCACUGCCAUCAGCCCACUCCCUCUCCACCCUCCCAUCUCCAUAUGUGCUCACUGGGGUCACCAAGUCUCUCCUGCUCACACUCUCCAGGGCCACUCUGUACUCUGUGGAACAUGCAAAUUCUGGAACCUGAGAGGGAAUGUUACCCCAGUGUGCUCCCUCCUCCUCUCUCACAAAUGAGAAAGGAAAUGGGUCCAUGUACCCUAAACUACUCAGCAUCCCAGCCAGGCCUGCAGCUGCAUCCUCAAAUCCAAAACAUUGGGAUUCUUGGGGCAAAGUAUAUGGAAAUCCAAGUCCAUUAGAAUGUGGGAAGAGUCUAGAGAUGCCUGGGUUGCUCAGCAGUUGAAUGUUUGCCUUUGGCUCAGGUUGUGAUCCCAGGGUUCUGGUAUCGAGUCCCACAUCAGGCUCCCUGAGAGGAACCUGCUUCUCUCUCUGCCUGUGUCUCUGCCUCUCUCUCUGUGUCUCUCAUGAAUAAAUAAAUAAAAUCUUGAAAAAAUAUAGGAAGAGUUUAAAUGGGUUCUCCUCAGUUGAAUCAUGUUUUUUAAAAAUUUUAUUUAUUUAUGAGAGAGAGAGAGAGGGAGAGAGAGAGAGAGAGAGAGGCAGAGACACAGGCAGAGGGAGAAGCAGCUUCCUCACAGGGAGCCUGAUGUGGCUUGAUCCCGAGAGUCCAAGAUCACAACCUAAGCCAAAGGUAGACGCUCAACCGUUGAGCCACCCAACGGUUGAGCAUUCUCCCUAGUUGAAUCAUGUUUGCAGCUAUUUCCAUCAUGAUGCCAAGUUUAAGAAAAAAGCAUUUCUCUGUGAGAGAUUUAUAAAUUCAUAAUUUAUAAUUGAAGGAAGGAAGAUACAUGGGCUUGUGUUUUGAGACAGUGUUGGGCUUCUUCAGCAUGAUCCAUCACCCUUCAGGGGAGCAAAGAGCUGGAAGGAACCAAAUAGCUUUGACCUCCUUCACUGCUAAACUUCAAGGCUAAGAGGAAAAGUGAUCACCAGGUGCUUUGUACAUAAUCCAUCAGUAGUUACAAGCAUGUGCAUUGCUUUAUGGGAAAAGUGUAAAAGUCUCUAGGGGCAUAGAAGUUAUGCAUCUUAAUGUAUGAAUGGAGGAUAAGAUUCCUUGAUGGAGCAACAUUUAAGGUAGACCUUGUGUUUCAUUGUUUUAUCAUCAUUCUGUAAGGCCUGCUAAAUGUGUUUACUUUCCAGGUAGCACAUAGUGCUGGAGGCAGGAGUCCAGCCUAUGUUGACCUUGCCCUUGGCCCUGUGUGGAAAGACAGCAUGUCCUGUAUCACAGACUUUGGAAUAGUAAUUCUACUAGUGGCAAUGUUUUAAACUCAUAUAUGCAUGUGGAAAUUUCAAAACCUUGCUGCAAUUUAUUUAGCAUUCCUCUCUCAUUGUGAAACAUGCUUUAAAUCAGCAACACUCUCUUCUUUAUACUAUCAUGUUCACUUGUGCUUGGGUUGAAGGCUGGGCACAUACCUUCCAUGGCAAGUUCUCAUGGCCACAGGAUCAAAAUGGGUGUGAUUAGGUGUAGAAUUAGGAGCCAGAGCACACAUAUAAUCCGAGUGUUGCUUAUCUAAAAUAUGUUUAGAAAAGCAUUGGUUAUGUUUUUACCCAGGCCACUGGUGAACAUAUUCUUUUUUCUUCAUUACUUAGAAUAAUCCAUUCUUUCACAUGUAGAGAGACAAGGCAAAAAUGUUCAGGGAAUUCACACAAACCUGUCUGUUGAGGGUUUUAAAUGCACACAAACUGGAAAAAAAUUUAUUUCUUUGCUCUGGAAGUGUCUGGGAGCUCAGUAAUAGGAGAAUGAGUGGAGAUGGUGUUUCAAAUCAAGAAGGAAUCUUCUUGGGAUGCCUGGGUGGCUCAGCAAUUGAGUGCCUGCCUUCAGCCCAGGGCAUGAUCCUGGAGUCCCGGGAUCAAGUCCCACAUCAGGCUCCCUGCAUGGAGCCUGCUUCUCCCUCUGCCUGUGUCUUUGCCUCUCUCUCUCUCUCUCUCUCUCUCUCUCUCUCUCUCUCUCUCUCUCUCUCUCUCUCUUUUAUCCUAUGCAGAUAGAAUCUGACAAUGCACAAUAGCGAUGCUAUAUGCAUUUUCCUUGUUUGGGGCCAUGUUGAGUGAAAGUCUAUAAUCAACUGACAUUUGAAACAAAAGGUAAUAAAAAUGACAGCACCAGUUGCAACAUGUAGAGUAGCGAGCAUUCUCAUUCACAGAAACUUUUCUCCCCUGAAAAAUAACUUUGUAUUUGCUGAAUGGACUUGAGAGAACUGCCAUGCAAUGUCAAGCCUUUUCCAUAGGUGUCCUCUUUAAUUUGGGGGAAUCCAAAGAUGAAAAGGAAAAAUGACUAUUUUAAAAUGUUAGAAUGUCCAUAUUUCAAAUCUUCCGUAUGUGAUUUUCUUUAGGAUGAUUGAUUAGUGAACAACUACAAUGGGGUAUUUGCCUACGAUUGAUUUCAGUCUCCCUGUACAGUACAAAAUCUUACAGAAGAUAUGAUCAGUAUGGUAGCAGACCGUGAGCAUCCUCGGGGAAGAACUGGUUUUCAAUGAAGUGAGUCGAAAUUUAGCUGAACCUCAAAGAUACAGGAGGGGUCGGGACCCUGUCAUUACAACGUAGCAUACAUUUUAGGGUUUACCCUUUUUUAGACUAAUGCUUUCACACUGAAUAGGCUUCCCUUGGCAAGAAAGCCAAGGUCCAUUUUCUCAUUUCUUUGCUCCUCCUCUACUCUGCCUCCCUUUGUCCACCAGGGAGGAAGGCCCAGCGGCAGUUCAGUGCAUACUGACUCAUCCCAUGUGCACACUCCCACAGUGUCUACAUCCAGCAAAGCUCCCUGACUAGUUGCUGAGCACCAUCACUGGGGCCCUGGCAGUUCCAUGUAUCCUCCUAGCUCCCACUGAGGACCUGACAGAAGAUCUUCUUUGGACAGCAGAGGUAGAAGCCCCAGCCCCCUUCAAGGUAAACUCAUUUGUGUGAGACAUUUUUUUUCUCCUUCAAUAGAAUUAAACUAUGAAAUUAUGAGUCUGGACAUCUCAGAUGAUAUAUAGAAUUAUCUCAGUGCAGAGAGUUUCAAGUAAGACUGUGUUAAUACCUGAUACCUGGUACAAUAGGGUAUUUGAUGAUGACAAGAUCAGUUACAAACUGUACGGUAGUGAGCAUUUUCCCCAAUGUUUGUCCUUGAAAGUGAAUUUUCCCUGAUCAAAAUGGACUUGCAACAUCUUGCGUGAAAUGCUUGAGCUUUUUUCAUGUCCUCUAUGUUUUGUUCUAGGGCCAUUGACUCAACCAUUGGUUCCCAUUUGGCUUCCUAAAGAGAACCAAAGACCUGUGUAAACACUGUAUAUUGUGAUACAUUCCUCACAUUUAUUCUCUAAUUGCAGGUGGAUGCAGCAAGGAAGGACAAUGUUCCUUUUUUUUUUAUCAUCACCCACUUUCUCAGGGAUAAUGUAAAUAAUGAAGAAGGUGAGAAAUUGGGUAUUGAGAUGUAAUGAGAGAAACUCUCCUGUAAGAAACUAUGACACCUGCACACCAAUGUUCACGGCAGCAAUGUCCACAAUAGCCUAAAUGUGGAAGAAGCCACGACGUCCUUCAACAGAUAAAUGAAUAAAGAAGAUGUGAGAUAUAUAUAUAUAUACACAUACAUACACACAAUGAAAUAUCACUCAGCCACCAUAAAGGUCGAAUACCCACCAUUUGUUUCAGCAUGGCUGGAACUGGAGGGCAUUAUGCUGAGUGAAACAAGUCAGUCGGGGAAGGAGAAUAAUCAUAUGGUUUCACAUAUGGUUUCUUAUAUAUGAGGAAUAUAAGAAAUAGUGAAAGGGAUUAUAAGGGAAAGGAGGGGAACUGACUGGGGAAAAAUUAGGGAGGGAGACAAACCAUGAGAGACUCCUAACUGGGAAACAAACAAAUGGUUGUAGAAGGGCAGGUAGGUGGGGAGAUGGGGUAACUGGGUGAUGGGCACUAAGGAGGGCAUGUGGUGGGAUGAACAUUGGGUUUUAUAUGUUGGCAAAUUGAAUUUAAAUAUUUUUUAAAAUGUGCCCAUGUAUGUGUGUUUAUUUUGGGGUUCUUUAUGCUGAUCCAUUGUUCUCCCUGCCAGUUUUUAUGGCAGUAUCAUAUUUGUUAGAGUAUUGUAGCUUCAAUUGCAUUUGAAGUCAGGAAGAGUGGAGCUUCCACUUUUUUCUCAUGCUUGAGUUUGUUUUGGCUGUGUGAGGUCCAUAAGUAUUUUAGCAUUAUCUGUUCUGUUUCUAUAAAAUGACAUUGGGAUUUUGGUAGGUGUUGGAUUGACUUGUACAUUUCUGCUUCUAAGACCUGGUGUCCCAGGACCUCACAGAGUACCUGAUAUAUGUGCAUGGGCCCAGGAAAUACCUGCAAAUGAAUGAUCCCAUCAGGCCAGCAUACUAGUCAGCAAGGAACGAGGGACGGAUAAUUAUGUCUUCUUUAUCUUUGGAUUCUACAGCUCUACUAUCGAGGGUGCUAGCCACUAGCCUAUAUCUCUCUGUGUAUAACUAAUUUCAUUCAAUCACUAAUUAGCUGUAUUAAUUAUAAUGAAAGAAAACACCAAAUUGUUCAGUCACACUAGACACAUUUCACAUGUAUCCAUAAGAGUUAGAAUUGGGCUGCUAAGUUUGGUUGUGAAAGCUAUAAUAGGCUUGUAAACUGAGAAUGUGAACAGUGAUUCCCAUGGCAGCUCUUAUCACAAUUCAGCUAUGCAACUGUGAUCAAUGUCUUAUUGAAGGAUUCCAAUUCCACCAAGCCCAACAAAUUUCUGAAAACACACAGAAAAAAUCAGGGAGUUGCUGUAUGUCCCACCACAACCUCAACUAGAGUAGGAGGAAUGGGCUUCUCGCUCCAAUAACGGGAUUGCUCAUGUUUAUGUGUCUAUAGAUUUUAUUGUGGAGAGCCUCCAGGAUCCCAGGAGUGAGGGAGACGACUUUCCAGGUAGGGAGCAGCACUCAGGUGGGAAACAAUGGGAGAGGGUUCCAGGUAGCAGUUUGGUUGUAUCUGAUGAUCUGGAGACUAUGAAGAUGCACAUGAAGUCAGAACAGGGAAAUAUGUGUAGAAGUCGGAUUUGCUCAUUUCAUAUUCGAAUGACAUAUCAAAAGGAAUUGCGCCUGUAGGCUUUGAGUGUGCUGCCUUUGAAAAAGUGUAUCCUUGCUUUGCUCUCUAAACUCUAUCGUUCCCAUGAAACCUGCGCGCACACACACACACACACACACCUUUACAAUUGCCAAAUGUCAAGUCUUGGUUUUCUUUGCUUGACGGUUCUUGGAAAUUGUGUAUGAGAGAUUGGGGGACAUUUCUCUUAAUGAUUUAUCAUGAAUGGAUUCUGGGAGGGACACAACAACUCUCACAGGCACCUGACCCAGAGACUAAGUUCUAAUGUGGUACAUGAGAGUUAACUCCCUCCCAUUCAACUUCUAGGACAUGUGACAUCAUGGUUCUGUCCUGCUUGCUCCUCCUUAAAGACCACUCCCACACCUAGAUAUGUAAAGAAUAUUCCCUCUGGCAUUCUGCAUAUGCUCCAGUGUCCUUUCCCAGACUCCACACCUGACCCAUGAGAUGGGCAAAUAUGCUUCCAUUAGAGGGAAGACUGUGUAGCUGCACUGCAGAUGCUCCAUGGCUGGCAGGAAUUCUAGAGGACUAUGUGAGGGACUGGUGGUCCUGUUGCAGACACUUGUACUCACAGCCUCACUGAGCUGUCACCUGGCAUUAACCAGACUCAGGGCAGAGACUCUGGCCAGUGGGUCUAAGGGUCACUGCUUCUCUUAGAACCAAGUGCUUCAGCCAUAUGGUGUUGGUCUUGCCCUCAUCACAUCCUUGUCACGACCACCCUGUGAUCCUUAGGCAAGCCCAGUCCUUUCAUUCCCAUGGUCAGGGCAAACCCUGGCAGGUACUGUAUGUGGUCACAUGGCCGUACAUUUCCCAGGGUCUCACUGAGACACUAAGAGAAAUUGGACCAAUUCCAUCCUCUAGUUUUCCCUCACCCUCUGUAACGGUUCUAGGAAUUUGAAGGGGUUGCUUAAGGUGAAAAUGUCUCCUGAGUAUGGUCAUCUCAGGCUCAGAACAGACACUGGCUAUGUGGAGGUGGUUGGCACUUUCUCCCUCAAGGUCCUCAGCAAUCCCUGACCCAGGACAGCUGCUCCCUACACAAGAGGAACCCGUGGAUUUAGUGGGUGGGUGCCAGCACACAUACUGUCUUUCCUCUGAUGCUUCCAUAUUCCACAACAAUGUGAUUGGUGGAGGUUGACAGUAGAAAGGAAAUGAAGCAUAUUUAGAAGAGGAAGUGGAACCAGGAAAGGAGCCAGGAGGCAGGAAGGUAAUAUCAGUCACAGACUGUCAUGGAGACAGUGAUCUCCUGCAGGAGGGACAGAAGGACACAGGCAUCCAUUCCUGUCAUUGAGAGAAUGUGACUCUGGAAAAGCAGGUCAGAAAGCAAAGACCCACUCUCUCCCCUGUAGACAUGAGGAAGUGGAGCCUGGGGGAGGACUCAGAGCUGAGGACGAAUCAUUCAGAAUUCAGGGUACCUCAUCCCUGGAGCAGCAGGGGCUGGGUUCUCACCUCCACUAACUGCAGUUUCCCUUCCCAUGGCCACCCCCACAUCAUCACUGCCAUAUCCCCUCGAGUACUUUGCAGAUUCUGAGGAUUCAGAAGAACCCAGCAUCAUGGUGCCUGUAAUGUAUUUUCCUCCUUCAUCUCUUUCCACUUUCUCUCUGCAAUCCAUAUAGCUCCGCUUUGUAGCCCUCACCCAUUGUCCCUUCCUAGGAUUCUCCCCCUGAAGAAAGUGGUAUCAUCCAGGCACUAGAGGCCUUGCCUCUUCAGGAUCUAGGAAAUCUCUCUGCAGCUCCCCUCACCCCCUUUAGCACUGCCCUGGCCCCUGACCCUGGGUCUGGACCACUGAUUCAUGGUGAGCAGUCCUGAAUGGCCCAGCAGGGAGCCAGCCUGGGAGUCUGAAGGGCUGAGCUGGAGGGGCCCCAGAGAAGUCUGUGUCCUGGGCACCCCCAACAUGGGUCUAUUCCUACCAUGAGUGGCUCUGGUCAUGCUUGAUUCCUCCCUUUCUUUCAGCGGCCAAAAACUUCUCUAUUACAGGAGCCUAGAGAAAGAGCAGAAGAUGCUGUUUCAUAGGAGGAACACAAAGACAUGUAAAUGUGUGGUGCCUCGCAUGAAGAGGGUAAGGCAAACAAGGGCAUAUGUUGCUCAUCACUUCACCUUGUUGGGUCUACUGGGUAAGCAGCCAAAAUGCCGGGAUAGCUGCUAUUGCCCGUGACUACAGAGACAAGAUGAUGGUCAAAAUCUAUGCAGGCCACUGGAGGGUGCCUGGAGUACCUCUCCCAGGGACCCAGGACCUAAUCCAUGUACACACCUGAGAAUGAAGGGCUACGUCCUCCAGCAGCUGCUUAACUUGGAGGCAGGGGCUCUGGGUGCCUUAGAGCCACCAUGGGCAGGCCUGGAGGAGGCGUAUGCACUGUUUUAUUUCUGAAGAACGCCCUUAGAGUUGUUCUUCAUCUCAUCUGCAGGACACAGCCCUGCCCUCCCAUACAGCUAAAGUCAGCAAGAGAGCUUCCUCUGCUACUAUCUAGGUGUGAUGAGACAUUCGGGGUUAGUUCUGACCACAUCUGAUUCAGGCAUCUGGCAAAUGAGUGAAGACACCGGCCCCCCAGUGCUCAUGCAAGUGGGAGAGCUUACUUCCCCCUGCUUCGCAUCCCUCUGGGCACACAGUAGGCCCGGAUUCGAGGAGGGGACACUAUAGGAUCCCAAUUUGAUUGGCAGCUGCCCAUGUGUUUGGGUCCCCUGAGCCUCCAUGAACCCUUGCAGGAGACGGGGGCUAACUUCACGGCACCACUUUUCCAAUGUGAGUUUUGGGGCUCUAUCGAUUCUGCCUCAAUUGGCAAGCAAGGCAAUCGGAAAGGCAGUGAUAUCUGCUCCCAAUGCAAGUAUGUCCAGCAGCUCAGCUUGUACACUGUGCAUUCUCACUCCCUGUGUAGUACAGGAGCACGUAGUACCCGCUAUGCCACCCACAGCACCCAAAUGUGCCCAAGGUCAGUCCACAGAGAAGUCAUGUUGAGGGCUCUGAGAAAGACUGGGAAAGUGAUUGCCAAGCAGCAGAAGGACCCCACAGCCUGAGACAGACGGGGCUGUUAGGGAAGGGGCCCUCUUGGCAUGGCAGACACAGCCUUCAUUCAGUUUCUGGGGUUCUCAAAAGGCUUGGGGCCUGCAGAGUUACCUCCACCCAGGAAAAGCUAGAAUUAUGUCCAACGAAAAAACCUCGACCUCUUUUGGGAGCUGUCUCAAACACAAUUGCCCUACGGUCUCAAACAGCUCCAUCUCAUUAUUCUCACAGCUACAGAGAAAGACUCUCUGGCCAUAGCCCAGGCCUUGGUGCUCCAAAAUGUCCUCACUGAAAGUAGGCCAGAGAGGCCUUUGGUGUCCAACUGCAGCUUUGAUGGUUUCCCAGAGAAAGAGCCAGCAUAGGGGGACGCCUGGCUGGCUCAGUGGUUGAGCGCCUGCCUUUGGCUCCCGCAUGAUCCUGGAGUCCCGGGAUCAAGUCCCACAUCGGGCUCCCUGCAGGGAGCCUGCCUCUCUGUGUCUCUCAUGAAUAAAUGAAUAUAAUCUUUAAAAAAAAAAAGUGCCAGCAUAAAAGGAUGCACACAUAACCAUGGGGCAGAAACAUACCUAAAGGAACAGCUCAGGUGCACUUGACAGUUGUAGGCCUCAGUAAGAUUUUUGUGCUUCCAACCAGCAGACAAGACUAAGGAGCCCUGGGGACAAGACAAAGGGACCCUCUGAGGCUACCACCACACCCUGAGCUGGAUUGAGAAUCUCUGUUGAAGGGACAUCUGGGUGGCUCAGCAGUUUAGCGCCUGCCUUCAGCCCAGGUGUGAUCCCGGGGUCCUGGGAUGGAGUCCCACAUUGGGCUCCUUGCGUGAAGCCUGCUUCUCCCUCUGCCUGUGUUGCUGCCUCUCUGGGUCUCUCAUGAAUAAGUAAAAUCUUAAAAAAAAAGAAUCACUGUUGAAGACCUAGCCUUUGAGGAAAAAGCAGCACUCCAGGGCACGCCCAGUGCAUUUCUGAGUGACAUGAAGACCAUCUCUAACCACAGUAUUAUACAGCCUUCCCAUUCUUUCCCUUGCCUACUGCCAGGUCUGCUCCUCCCCCAGGUGUCCCUCCAGCCCCCAGUAGGAAUGCAUAGUGGGAGAGAUGCAGGACUACCAGGGCCCAUUGGCCACCCUGGAUUCCAAUUGAGGGGGCAGCAUCUGUACAUCCUCUGUCUCAGAGGACAAAUAGCUCACCUGGCCUCCUCUCCUGUCAGAGCCCCUUUCCAUCACCUCUUCACACUGUCCCCAGCCCUGUCUACCAGCUCACUCCCAAGUGUCAGGUAGGCAGAGCUACCUGCAGGGUCCCCAAACCAUUGCCCCUGACCCCUCCAUCUCACCAGGCAGGGAGUCUGCACAAGACGCCCAACUCCUGGCUGGCCAGCUCCAGAAGCAGCUGCAGUCCCUGCCUCCGUUCAUAUAGGAUUAAGGCCCAUCCUGGAUUACCCGCUAAUCGGGCAGGGAAGAGACACUCUGCAACACAAGGCCUGUUACAGCUGAGGCAGAUGCCAGUUGUGCCUUCCCUACUGCUCCCAGCACUUCUGAGAUGGAGCCCCCACCUGAAGUGUGCAGAUUCUCCUGUCUUCCUCUGGUAGAGUUCCCGUCACUGGGAUCCUAGUGCCCCUCCCCACACCGGCCUGCCCAUCAUUGCUGCUGGCACUUCUAGCACCUCCACACCAGCACACCUGUAUUGUAUUCUUACAUUAAUGUUUUUGUUUUUUGUUUUUUUUUUUUGGUAUUUCUCGGCUAUACUCUUUUUCUGUGAGUUUUUUCAAGUGGUCAUAAAUUUCUAAAAGUUUUUCAGUAAAACUUAAUGAAAGAAAAAAGAAAACCACAUAAAAGUGGACCCAUUCAAACCAGUGCUAUUCAAGGGUCAACUGUAUUUUGAAGGCAUGGGCAACAUGAUUUGCUAAUAAAUUGGUUGUUGGUUAAAGAUGACUCUAUAUUCACUGAUCUGAGCAACCAAAGUUUGCCUUUUAGAAAGAGAGUAGACUGAAAGAGGAAUGGUUCUGAGAAGGAUCAAGUUUUGUUUUGAAUGUAUUAAGUGAAAGAUGCCAACUAGACAAGAGGAAAUGUCAGAGACAGAUGAAAUAAGAGCAUACCAGGAGCUUUCUAUCUCUUAGCUCACAUAGGUAGCACCACAACACUGCCACAUUUUUUUUUUUUAACACUGUACAUUUUAAGGAGGAGACUGAGAAACAGAGAUUCAGAGAAAUAACAAGACUUACACAAGUUUGUACCCACUGGUGCUGGAUGUAGAAUUGAAGUCCAUGACGCUUUGGCCACUACAUCAGGAAACUCUUAAGAAAAAUAUUUGUGUACAUUAAGACAGUUAUGAUCAACUUAUUCUUGAUUUUACUGUAUUAUUUUGGGGAGAGGUCAUUAAUUCUGAUUCAAGCUGUUAACUCCACAUUUGCUCCCAGGAAAUAAUGAUUAUUCAUUAGUAUUCUAGCACAGUUGUUCUCAAAUUUUAGAAAACAUAAGAUGCACUUGGACCCAUUUUAAAAAUAAAAUUCCAGUGUCCCUUACCCAACUUGUUGCCUUUAUCUACAAGCAUAUUUUUUUUUCUGACAAAAAUCUAUUCAUCCAAUCCAAAAUGAAACAAUCAGGAUUAUUUUGAGGGUCACAAUUACCUAAAUAUUCAACAAUUUCCAUCUUUAUCAUAUCUGAAAACCAAAGAAAUUCCAACUCAUAUUUGGGUAAAUGAAGUCAAUAUCCAAUUAUUCAGGUCUUACCUUGUUGGUCAAAAUGGCGGUAAUGCAAUGCUUUCCUCUGGGAAUUCACAAUGUAUUUUGAGGACAUGUCUCUCAGGUUAUUAGAAAGGAUCAAAAGAUACUUCAGGUGAUAUAUGUACCCCUAUGUUUAUUGUAGCAUUAUUUACAAUAACCAAGAUAUAGAAGCAACCUGUGUUCAUUGAUAGAUGAAUGGAUAAAGAUAUGCUAUAUAUAUCUUCUUGUUUGGGACAGGGCUGGUAAAGUACACCUUUACCUCUCCCCCAUUCUUUAUAAUGUGUGGUUUCAUAUAAAGCAUUUGGAUGCCUUAAAAGCAGGUCUAUACCUCAUCCUACUUGGUGCUGUGCAUACAUUAGUGGGAAGAUUGCUGUGGUUCCAUAAGGAAUACCUACAUUUUCCUAUCCUAAGUCAAAUACUUGCACCAUUAGUUACUUGGAGCCAGUUUGACAUGGCAUUUCCCCUUUGCACAGCUAGGACAAGUGCUUCCACAAGGCCCUACCAGGCUAGAACAUGUCCUGAUAUUAGGGUCAGGUUAUUUUUUUUCCCCAUGAAGCAAAAGCUACUUGUGGUUACUCACAAUUUGUCCCUAACAUCUAGAGGUUUUCCUGAAUGUAUCCUUUGUGGUACUCCAGGAGGUCAAUGCCUUGACAGAAAUGUCUCCCAACAUAGAAUAAUACUCAGUAACUUUUUAGUACCCAUAAUCUCUUGACCUUUCUUACUAGAUUUAAAAGCUGAAUAAUUAGGAUUGGGGAUAUAGAGUAUAGCUGUGGAAUAUUUUUUUUCUGUCCAUAAGAGCUAAGAGAGUAAACGUCCAGCUCCUACUACCUUUACCAUCAUAUUUGACCACUUGAACUAUCUCCAGGGUAUAAAUUCAGUCUGAUGUUUAAAAAAUAAAGUUGAGUCCUUCAUGCCAAUGUUUAACAAUCCAAUAAAAAUGAUUUCUGGAUAUAUAUUACCAAAAUUUACACAGAAGGAGAAACCUAAAGAGUAUAACCAUUGAAUAAAUCAGUGUUGCUAAAGCUACAUCUUACCCAAUUCCCUCCCACGCGAAAAAGGAUCUGGCCACUAUUUUUAGCCUUUAAUGAGUAAUUCCCAAGUUAUACAAACUCUUUCAGAAAAUAAAAGAGAAAUACACUCUCUAAAUACAUUUUGGAAAGCCAGCAAAACCUUAGUAAAUUCAAUCUAGUUCUCCACUUAAAAAAAAAAAAAAUCACCACACACAAAUGGAUUUUAUUCCAGGACUUCUAGGAAAUUUCAAUUACUUGGAAAUUUCUCAAAAAAUUAUGAAUUAAAAAAAUAAAGGACGUGACCCAUAAAAUUAUAUCAAGAUUUUUUUAAAAACUUAAUAGAACUUAUCAACUGUAAGUAUAAUGAUAAUUGCUAUAGUGGGUACUAUGGGCCAAGUACUGUUCUAAAUACCUAACACUUAGGUACUAAUUUUAUCCUAACAGGCAUAGCUUUACUUUACAGAUGGAAGAACUGACACGCAAAGAAGCUAAAUAACUUGCCCAGGGCCAUACAACUAGAAAAGUGGUUGGAGCCAAGAUUUGAAUUAGGGUACUAGGCACAAAGUCAGUGUUCUUAACUACUGUAUUAUCUUGCUUUUUCUAAAAACAGGAAUAGAGGGGUGUCUGGUGGGCUCACUCAGUAAAGCAUGUCAUUCUCAUUCCUGAGGUCAUGAGUUCAAGCCCCAUAUAUGCAUGGAGCCUACUUAAAAAAUAAUAAAUAAAUAAACAAACAAAUAAAUAAAAACAGGAAUAGAAGGAAACUUCCUAAACACAAUAGAGUAUUUAUCAAAAACCAACAAUGAAGUACCAGUUGUGAGAUGUCUAAGAAUACAUGUAGAAGAUAUCAACGAGGAUCCUCUCUGUGAUAUCCUAUGA